GGUCAAGCUAAUAAGGGCUAACGGUGGAUACCUAG
rnacentral:rRNA from 1 species